GAUUAGCACACACCCAUCCCUGGGAACUGCUAGUCUGGAAAGCGGGGCUGCUUCUCCGGGAUGAGCCCGAGCCCUGCCAAGCCCCUCAAGGCAUUGAAGCUUUAGCUCACCUUAUCCGAAUGGUCAUUGGGCAUCUGGACUUGAGUUAACGACUGAAUUUUUCUGGGAAGCAAGGGACACGUUCUAAAAUAACCCCAGGAUCACUCUCCGAACUUGGCCUGAGUCUAGGCAAGCAGUGUUACUCGGUCGCCUUGAUCUUGGAGCUGCUGUGUACUGGGGACCUCAUACUAGUUGGGUUAACUAUAUUCCCAUUAGCAGUACGCGGGAUCGCAGUACUCGGGACAAGCUGAGUUCAGCUGCUAUGAGUAACACGAUCUGGAAAGACAGCGCUAGCAAGGAAUGAGGAGUGAUACAGUGACUGGAGGCUAAGAGAUAAUGUCUGCAAGUCACCUAAAACCAUUGCAGACACAGGGAGAUUGAUGGAUUUGGAGGACUUCUGGUUGUGAAGACUCUGACGAUUGCUAAAGAGUUAAGUGAAAUACUAGCGUGGUUUUUUUGUGUGUGUUUUUUGUUUGUUUGUUUGUUUGUUUGUUUAUAAAAACAGGCAGAAUGUAGCCCUAUUAAUUGUAAACUGGCAAGAUAAACCAGGAUGCCAGUAACCACUAGACGACAGAUUGUCAAGAAAUCCAGUAAUAACCAUCCACAAGAGUUUAAAGUACAGUGAGGCAAAAUCCUGAUGGCUUUAAAAGAAUAAAGCCUACUGUACCAAUUAGUAAACUUUUAUGAUAGUGUUAGACCAUUAGUGAUAAUGAGGAAACAUUGGAUUUAAUAUAUUUGAACUGUGGUAAGAUGUGAUUCUUUCUUUUUGUCAACACAUUAAAAC
rnacentral:lncRNA from 10 species